AUCCACAAUUCACAUAAUUUAUUUUGAAAUACUAUUGUUCAGAAUAAUGCAUCAUGAGAACAGUGAUAUACAGGCAAGUUCCCUUAAAGAACAUGCAUCAGUUCAGUUCCCUUUUGAAGCAUAUUGCAAAUGCCCUCUAACAGGGCACAGCAACAUUACAUAAAUCAUCUUAUAUGAAAAAUUAACAUGACAUCAAAUAUUUAUAAAUAUUAAUGUGUAUGUUAAUAUAACCAAAGCUGUAACAAACAAUCGUAACCUUGCCAAGUUACCUAGGACAGGCGCUGCUGAUAAUCAUAUCCAUUAUCUCUGGAGGAACGUACAAUUAUGAAAGUUAUACACAGGAUGCUAUGUUUUUAGCUGCUUUUAAAUUUAUCCAUUAGAUGUCUGCCUUACAUAUAAUAUUAACCCUUUGCACAUACAUUCUUAAGAAAUAUGUAGAAGGCAGCUCAUGUGGAUAAAUACUUUAAAAAUCAUUUUUAUUUAAUCAUUUACCUGGAAAGUCCCUAUAUUUUAACAUAACUUUAUCAUAAUUGCAGUAUAUGAUGUCCUACAGAAAGCUCACUUGGGGUUGAUCUCAUUAACCUGUGUUAAAUACCACAUAUGCAUUUAUACAUAUGCAUGCUACGCCUUAAGAAGGCCACACUUUGCAAAGGUAGAUUGGUGAUUUGUGGCUAUGCAAUGUGAUGUACUAUGCUAGCUCCAGUCCCUCAGGAAAGUCUCUGUGUUGAGGAUGGGGUGGGGAUGGGGAGUUCUUGGGCUUGCCUGGGCUCAGUAGGGUCAAGUCCAUAGUUAAAAUUUUUAGUGACUCACAGACCAUAGGCAUAGUCAGCCAGACAAAGUUUUGCUUGGGGUUCUUUUUUCACUUCAACUCUUUUCGUGGGUAGGGUGAAUCAAUGCAUAGUACAGCAAUGUGAUUCAGACAGAAGGAGAAAAGGACCACCAUUUUAUACAUGUGCAUAUAGGGCAGGAUCAGGCAAGUCUGGCUCAGAGUCCAGUAGGUUUUCAUGGGCACAGCAAGAAGAUCACGUUAGAGGCUAAACAUACUUCUGGAUUGAAGAUGUUUUGCUUCACCAAAAGAGAGUUCUUCAGUAAGCAGCAUCUGAAUCCAACUGUCUAAAUCUGUGCCCAAGCCAGAGCAUUCUUCAUUCUAAAGCACCGAACUUCUGUUUUCAGCCUGACUCCUCGGUGUUACAAAGAGACUAUUGUUUUGUGGAAAUAGACUCUGAUGACUGUGCUCUGCAUCACUUACAGGUGGAAAUGGGUUUAGCCCUAGGUGUGGUGGAGAAGUGUGACCUUGUUUUCACAUUAAAGUUUUUUUGUACAUCUCUGGGAUCUACGAUUGACUUUGGGGCAUUUUGACUGUGGAUAAUAAUGCUGAUUCAACCUACUUACUCUCUGAAAAACUAAAUAUGGAAUGAGUCAUGUCUCGAGUGGUCAGAAAAUGCCACUCGAAAAUAUCUUCCAAUUAGAGAUUCAUUUUAUUGCAAAUCUGUACAAAUAAUAUGGACUUUAGGUGGGAUGUUCAGCCUGAUACAUAUUUUAGUACUAAUUGUUUUAAUCAGAUAAGAAACAAAUACUUAUCUGGUAUCAUUUUUAAGUGGGUCAGAAUUUUGAAUGGGAUGCAAAGGAAAAGGGUGAAUUAGAGUAGACAUUACUUUGUUACUUGUUAAUUUAAAUAUGUAUUUUAGACAUACGCUUUCAAAUCCCCCAAAUUGCAUUGUCAUAUUUUGCUACCAGCAAUUUUAUGCUCUAUAUUAUCAUUUAUUUUUGGCCCCUAUGGACUCAUUCCCAUGAUCCCAAGCAUGUAGUUAUUACUUCUAUCUUUAAAAAAAAAAAAAAAGGCAAGGAAAGGGGGCUUUUCCUUGAUUUCCCUAUCAGCUACACCCUCUUUUUUGUUUUAUUUUAUUUUACUUUCUUUAUUUUAUUCACUGUUUUUUAGGAAAACUCCUUAAAGGGCUUGCCUAUGCUGGAUGUUUCUAAAUGUUCUACUCUCAUCUCCUUUAAAUCCAAUGAAAGUUUUAUCAUCACCAUUCCACAGAAAACACUUUUGUCAAGAUGGCCCAAGAUCUCCAUGCUGCUAAAUCCCAACGUCAAUUUUAAGCCUUCAUUUUACGGUGGCAUUUCCCCUUAUCCACAGGGAAUAAGUUUUAAGACCCCAGUAGAUGCCUGAAACUGGGAUUAUUACCAAAUCCUAUGGAUCCGGUGUUAAAGGAAGCACUUUGUGGUUUCUCUUUGGCAGAUCUGCAUUGCUAGCCUUACUACUUGCACACCUGGGGGCCAUCAUUAAGUAAAAUAAGGGUGACUUGAACACCAGCACUGUGAUACCACAACAGUUGAUGUGAUCAUCGAGAUGGAAGGGGCGAGUAGCACACACAGCGUGGAUGCGCUGGGCAAUGGGAAGAUUCACCAUCCCAGCAGGGGCGAGUAGCACACACAGCGUGGAUGCGCUGGGCAAUGGGAAGAUUCACCAUCCCAGCAGGGGCGAGUAGCACACACAGCGUGGAUGCGCUGGGCAAUGGGAAGAUUCACCGUCCCAGCAGGGGCGAGUAGCACACACAGCGUGGAUGCGCUGGGCAAUGGGAAGAUUCACCGUCCCAGCAGGGGCGAGUAGCACACACAGCGUGGAUGCGCUGGGCAAUGGGAAGAUUCACCAUCCCAGCAGGGGCGAGUAGCACACACAGCGUGGAUGCGCUGGGCAAUGGGAAGAUUCACCGUCCCAGCUGGACAGUGAGAUUUCAUCCCUCCCCUCAGACCAGCGUGCAAUUUAAAACUCAUGAACUGUUUAUUUCUGGAACUUUCUAUGUAAUAUAUUCAGACUGUAGUUGACUGCAGUUGAACUCAAACAUCAGGAAGUGAAACUGCAAAAAAGUGGGAAGGGACUUAUCGUACUUGAACCCAUCAGGUCACAGCUUCUCACUUUCUCCGCCUGCACACUUUCCUUCAUUUGGCUUUCUGGACACCGUUCUCUCCUGAUUGUUCUACUAUACUGGCCACGCCUUUUCAGCCUCCUUCACUGAUUCUUAUUCCCACAGUUUUAAUGUUGCCCCAGGGCUCAGCCUUUGUUCUUUCUUAAUCUUUCUAGACUCACUCCCUUGGUGAACAACACUGUAGUCUCGAGGCUUUAAGUGCAGGUUAUAUGCUGACAUCUCCUAUACUUACAUUUCCAGUUCAGAUCUCUCUUUCCCUUCUUAACUUCAGAUUCACAUAUGAAAUUAUCUACUCGACAUUUCCACUAGAUUGUGUAAACGGGUAGUUUCAGCAGGGUGCUGUGGCUCACGCCUGUAAUCCCAGCACUUUGGGAGGCCAAGGUGGGUGGGGCACCUGAGGUAAGGAGUUUGAGACCAGCCUGACCAAUAUGGUGAAACCCCAUCUCUACUAAAAAUACAAAAAUUAGCUGGGCAUGGUGGCACGUGCCUGUAGUCCCAGCUACUCGGGAGGCUGAGAUAGGAGAAUUGCUUGAACCCAGGAGGCAGAGGUUGCAGUGCACCGAGAUCACGCCAUUGCACUCCAGCCUGGAUAACGGAGUGAGACUCCAUCUCAAAAUAAAUUAAAAAGUAAAUAAAUAAAUAAACAAAUAAAUGGGUAGUUUCAAAUAAAAACUCCUGAACUCUAAAAUUAACUCCUUCUGCAGUCUUUCCCAUCUCAGUCAAUGGCAGCACUGACACUUCAAGUUAUUCCAGACAAAACCCUUGGUGGUCUUAUUUGACUCCCCCACGCUGUCACUCUUCUCCUCUAAUUCAUCAGGAAAUAGAGUUGUACUUGUUUUAUUGUGCUUUGCAGAAAUCACAUAUUUUACAAAUUGAAGGUUUGUGGUAACCCUGAGUCGAGUAAGUCUAAUGGUACCAUUUUUCCAACAGCGUGUGCUCACUUCGUGUCUCUGUGUCACAUUUGGUAAUUAUAGCAACAUUUCACAUUUUUCAUGAUUAUUACAUCUGUUAUGGUGACCUGUGAUCUUUGAUGUUACUAUUGUAAUUGUUUUGGGGUGCCAUGAGCCAUGCCUAUAUAAGACUGCACACUUCAUCAAUAAAUGUUGUGUGUGUUCUGAUUACUCCACUGAUUGGCUGCUUCCCCAUCUCUCUCCCUCUCCUCAGGCCCAUCUAGUCCCUGAGACAAGAAUAUUGUCUUUAGGCUAGUUAUUAACACUGCAAUGGUCUCUAAGUGUUCAAGUGAAAGGAAGAGUUGCACAUCUCUCACUUACAUCAAAAGCUAGAAAUGAUUAAGCUUAGUGAGGAAGGCGGGUACAAAGCAAAAUAAGUCAAAAGCUAAGUCUCUUGUGCCAAAGUUAGUCAAGUUAAGAAUAAAAAGGGAAAGUUCUUAAAGGAAAUAUAAAGUGCGACUCCAGUGAAAACUCAUGAAUGAUAAAAAAGUGAAACAGCUUCACUGCUGAUACAGAGAAUGUUGUAGUGGUCUGGAUAGGAAAAAACAAACAAAAAACAAACAACAACAACAACAAUAACAACAAAACAGCCAUGAAAUUCCCUUAAGCCAAAGCCUAGUCCCGAGCAAGGCCAUACAUUUCUUCAAUUCUAAGAAGGCUGAGAGAGACGAGGAAAUUGCAGAAGAAAAAUCUGAAGCUAGCAGAGGUUGGUUCAAGAAGUUGGUUUAAGGAAAGAAGCCACUUCCAUGACAUAGAAGUACCAGGUGAAACAGCAAGUGCUGACGGAGAAGCUGCAACAAGUUAUCCACAAGAUCUAGCUGAGGUCAUUGAUGAAGACUACACUAAAAAACAGAUUUUCAAUGUAGAUGAAAACAGCUUUGCAUGGGAAGAUGAUGCCACCUCAGACUUUCAUAGCUAGAGACAAGUCAGUGCCUGGCUUUGAAGCUUCAGAGGACAGGCUGAGUCUCUUUUAACUAGCUAAUGUAGCUAGUUACUUGAAGUUGAAGCCAAUGCUCAUUUAUCAUUCCAAAAUUCCUAAGGCCCUUAAAAUUAUGCUAAAUUUACUCUGCCUGUGUUCUGUAAAAGGAAUAAAACCUGGAUGACAGCACAUCUGUUUACACCAUGGUUUAUUGGAAAUUUUAAGACCACCGUUGAGACCUACUGCUCAGAAAAAAAUGAUGCCUUUCAAAAUAUGACUGUUCACUGAUAACAUACCUGGUCACCCAAGAGCUCUGAUGGAGAUGCGCAGAUAUUCACACCUGCUAAUACCACAUCCAUUCUGCAGUCCAUCAGUCAAGGAGUAAUUUCAACUUUCAAGUCUUAUUAUUUAAGAAAUACAUUUUGCAAGACUGUCACUGCCAUAGAUUUUUAUUCUCUGAUGGAUCUGGACAAAGUCAGUUGAAAACCUUCUGGAAAAGGUUUGCCAUUCUAGAUCCAAUUAAGAACAUUUGAGAUUCAUGGGAGGAGGUCAACAUUAACAGGAGUUUGAAAGAAGUUGAUUCCAACCCUCAUGGAUGACUUUGAGCAUUUCAAGACUUCAGUGGAGUAAGUUGCUGCAGACAUAGUAGAAAUUAAAGAGAAAUAGAAGUGGAGGCUGAAGAUGAGUCUGCAUUUCUGCAAUCUCAUGAUCAAACUUGAACAGAUAAGGAGUUGCUUCUUAUGGAAGAGCAAAGAAAGUGGUUUCUUGAGAGGGAAACUACUCCUGGUGAAGAUGUUGUGAACAUUGUCAAAAUGACAAUAAAGGAUUUACAAUAUUCCAUACACUUAGUUGAUAAAGCAGUGGAAAGGUUUGAGAGGAUUGACUCCAAUUUUGAAAGAAGCUCUACUGUAGGUAAAAUGCUAUCAAAUAGCAUCACACACUAUGGAGAAAUCUCUUGUGAAAGGAAGACGUAAUCAAUGGGGCAACUUCACUGUUGUCUUAUUUUAAUAAAUUGCCACAAUCACCCCAACCUUCUGCACCUACCACCCUGGUUAAUCAGUAGCCAUGAACACUGACGCAAGAUACUCCAUCAGCAAAAAUAUUAUGGCUUGCUGAAGGCUCCAAUGAUCUUUAGAAUUUUUUAAUGAUAAAAUUUAAAACUUAAGAAGCCAGAGUGCACCUUUUAAAAUGCGAGUCAG
rnacentral:lncRNA from 10 species